rnacentral:rRNA from 1 species
CGUAGGUGGCAAGCGUUGUCCGGAAUUAUUGGGCGUAAAGCGCGCGCAGGCGGUUCCUUAAGUCUGAUGUGAAAGCCCCCGGCUCAACCGGGGAAGGUCAUUGGAAACUGGGGAACUUGAGUGCAGAAGAGAAGAGCGGAAUUCCACGUGUAGCGGUGAAAUGCGUAGAGAUGUGGAGGAACACCAGUGGCGAAGGCGGCUCUUUGGUCUGUAACUGACGCUGAGGCGCGAAAGCGUGGGGAGCAAACAGGAUUAGAUACCCUGGUAGUCCACGCCGUAAACGAUGAGUGCUAAGUGUUAGAGGGUUUCCGCCCUUUAGUGCUGCAGCUAACGCAUUAAGCACUCCGCCUGGGGAGUACGGCCGCAAGGCUGG